rnacentral:rRNA from 1 species
AGUGAACGCUGGCGGCAGGCCUAACAUAUGCAAGUCGAACGGCAGCACAGUACGAGCUUGUUCUUACGGCUGGCGAGUGGCGGACGGGUCAGGUACAACUCGGAAUCUACUUUUUAGAGCGGGCUAACGUAGGCAAUUUUACGCCAAUACUGCAUCCGACUUACGGGUGAAACCUGGGGAUCUUCGGACUUCGCGCGAUUCUAUGAGCAGUUGUCGGAUUAGUUAGUUGGUGGCGUACAGGCCCACCCAGGCGACUAUCCGUAGCUGGUCUGAGAGGAUGAUCAGCCACACUGGAAGUGAGACACGGUCCAGACUCCUACGGGAGGCAGCAGUGGGGAAUAUUGGACAAUGGGCGCAAGCCUGAUCCAGCCAUCCCGCGUGGGUGAAGAAGGCCUUCGGUGUGUAAAGCCAUUUUUUUGGGAAAGAAAAGCAGCACGUUAAUACCCCGCUGUUCUGACGUUACCCAAAGAAUAAGCACCGGCUAACUUCGUG